GACGAACGCUGGCGGCGUGCUUAACACAUGCAAGUCGAACGAAGUGGCGAACGGGUGAGUAACGCGUAAUCAACCUGCCCUUCAGAGGGGGACAACAGGUGGAAACGACGGCUAAUACCGCAUACUUAAGGAGGGGAUUUCGUCUGAUUAGCUGGUUGGAGGGGUAAAGGCCCAACAAGUCGAUGAAAAGUAGCCGGUCUGCGAGGAUGAACGGCCCACUUGGGCCUGAGACACGUCCCAGACUCCUACGGGAGGCAGCAGUGGGGAAUCUUUCGCAAUGGACGAAAGUAUGACGGAGCAACGCCGCGUGAGUGAUGACGGCCUUCGGGUUGUAAAGCUCUGUUAAUCGGGACGCGGUACCGGAAUAGAAAGCCACGGCUAACUACGUGCCAGCAGCCGCGGUAAUAC
rnacentral:rRNA from 1 species